UACAUGGGGUGCAAACGUUGCUCGGAAUUAUUGGGCGUAAAGCGCACGUAGGUGGUCUGUUAUGUCAGAUGUGAAAGCCCUCGGCUUAACUGAGGAAGUGCACCUGAAACUGGCAGGCUUGAGUACGAAAGAGGGUCGCGGAAUUCCCGGUGUAGAGGUGAAAUGCGUAGAGAUCGGCAGGAACACCCAGGGGGAAACCAGUCGACUGGGCAUCUACUGACGCUGAGGUGCGAGAGCGUGGGGAGCGAACCGG
rnacentral:rRNA from 1 species